UCCGAAAACUGAGCAUUUGCCUCACGGUG
rnacentral:piRNA from 1 species